rnacentral:rRNA from 1 species
GACGAACGCUGGCGGCGUGCUUAACACAUGCAAGUCGAACGGAAAGGCCCUGCUUUUGUGGGGUGCUCGAGUGGCGAACGGGUGAGUAAUACGUGAGUAACCUGCCCUUGACUUUGGGAUAACUUCAGGAAACUGGGGCUAAUACCGGAUAGGAGCUCCUGCUGCAUGGUGGGGGUUGGAAAGUUUCGGCGGUUGGGGAUGGACUCGCGGCUUAUCAGCUUGUUGGUGGGGUAGUGGCUUACCAAGGCUUUGACGGGUAGCCGGCCUGAGAGGGUGACCGGCCACAUUGGGACUGAGAUACGGCCCAGACUCCUACGGGAGGCAGCAGUGGGGAAUAUUGCACGAUGGGAGGAAGCCUGAUGCAGCAAAGCCGCGUGCGGGAUGACGGCCUUCGGGUUGUAAACCGCUUUCGCCUGUGACGAAGCGUGAGUGACGGUAAUGGGUAAAGAAGCACCGGCUAACUACGUG